rnacentral:lncRNA from 1 species
AUGGAGUACAGUGGCACAAUCUCAGCUCACUGCAACCUCUGCUUCCCAGGUUCAAGCGAGUCUCCUGCCUCAGGCUCCCCAGUAGCUGGGAUUACAGGCUUCUCCCAAGGACUUUAUAGGCAGUUUCCUCAAUCUACAAACAGAAAAACAAGAACCAGCAACUUGGUCACCAUCACCCACGAAGAAAAAGCUGACGUGUUAACUUCUAUACUGUGUCUACGUGCAUAUUUGGACAACAUGGGACGAAAAGGUGCUUCCACUGCAGUCUGACUCUGUAGCUCUCAGGGAUAGAGUCUCCCUCAUGAGUGGGACUGGAUAGCUGUUUUUCACAAGGCAUAGUUGCUGGAUCUGCCAAGAGAGUGCAACUGCGGUUGAAUCAGCAAGGGAAGGGCAGAGACCUGAUGCUAUUAGCUUUGCUGGAAGCUUUCCCAGUAGGUCGGGGUCUCAACCAUUUCUCCUCCUGGGAGCAGGCACAGCUUGGAUUCUUCAGCACCUCUGUGAGUCCCCGGAAUGCGCUCUGCUGCCACAGAGCCCAUUAGCUCACCUAUAAAGAAGGCUGACCCUCACUCAGUGUAGGCAACUCACUAUCAGGAUGAGCCAAACAAAGGAAUAAAUAUGUUCCCUCUGGGCCCUGACAUAAUGGGGAAGCUUAAUCCUCAGCUUGGUAAAUGCCACAGCCACAACCAUGACCAGCUCAAUCUUCAAGGCAGAUCAAAUGACUUUCAGGAAUGGUUCUGAACAAGCCCCAGCUGGAGGGCCAAGCAGUUUCAUGAAAGACUGACUUUUCUAUACAGCAGUGAUAAAAAUUCUCUCCCUGUGUCAUGUCUUUAAUUUUAUUCUACUUUAUGGUUUCACAAAGCUUUCCCACAUACAUGAUCGCAUAUACUUUUCACAAACACUCUGUGCAUUUGAUCACUUGUCCAUAGCUGAGGCUUGGAGAAGGUAAUCACUGAAGUGGCUUGGGGAAUUGUGGAGCUGUGGGUGGAAUAUUCUAGCUAACCCCUUGAGUGUCAGGGGCGGGAGAGGACCAGGGUAGCGAAGCCUCAUACAUCCUUUUAAUCUGGCGCAGUGUAUUUCCACAAAUAGAAUCUGAACUAUAGACUCCUCAGCCCUUAGAUGCCUGAUUAAAAAUAGGCUGCUGCUCUGUCCAUGGGUGUCGACCAUCUGUGGCUGGACUUAACGGCGUCCUUCCAUAGGAUUCCGACCUUCACUCUGCUGCCCAUUCGCCUGGAGCACGGACUGGAUGCACUAAGUCAGCAGGGAGAGUCCUGGAAGGCAACCUGUUUCUGAAAUUAGUAUGGCUCUCCUUUAAGUGCCAGUAAAUCCCCACUAAAUCAAUCUUCACUGAGCAAGGUUUGAGAAAAGCACAUAAUGCUGAUUAACCAUUGAAAAUGCCACUAUUAUUUUGCAAAAAGUCUCCCAGCUUCACUCCCAUUCUCAAACUGCCCACACUGUGUUUAAUUCUUCCUGAUGCUUGCUUUAUGUUCACCCCAAUACGUCCUAAAUCAAUUAACGGCAAUUAGUUUGAUUAUGAAACUAUAAAACCAGAUAUAAAAAGCUCCCAUAAAUCUUCCAAUAAAGCACCCAACAAAACAAAAUCUUCUGGCUAACAGCUAAAUUAAGUGUUUUUGUUUUGUUAUUAUUAUGUAGCUCUCCCUUCAGCCUGAUAAGAAGUGUUUGUUGGAAAAUGUCCACUGGAACACAGGUGAUUAGACCUCAAAGGUUUCCCAACAGGGAAGAACCAGCAGAAGGCUUUUC